CACGUAGGGGCCAAGCGUUUGUCCGGAUUUAUUGGGCGUAAAGAGCUCGUAGGCGGUUCGACAAGUCGGGUGUGAAAACUCCGGGCUCAACCCGGAGACGCCACCCGAUACUGUCGUGACUGGAGUCCGGUAGGGGAGUGGGGAAUUCCUGGUGUAGCGGUGAAAUGCGCAGAUAUCAGGAGGAACACCGGUGGCGAAGGCGGAACUCUGGGCCGGAACUGACGCUGAGGAGCGAAAGCGUGGGGAGCGAACAGG
rnacentral:rRNA from 1 species